rnacentral:rRNA from 1 species
AGUGAACGCUGGCGGUAGGCCUAACACAUGCAAGUCGAACGGCAGCACAGUAAGAGCUUGCUCUUACGGGUGGCGAGUGGCGGACGGGUGAGGAAUACAUCGGAAUCUACUUUUUCGUGGGGGAUAACGUAGGGAAACUUACUCUAAUACCGCAUACUACCUACGGGUGAAAGCAGGGGAUCUUCGGACCUUGCGCGAUUGAAUGAGCCGAUGUCGGAUUAGCUAGUUGGCGGGGUAAAGGCCCACCAAGGCGACGAUCCGUAGCUGGUCUGAGAGGAUGAUCAGCCACACUGGAACUGAGACACGGUCCAGACUCCUACGGGAGGCAGCAGUGGGGAAUAUUGGACAAUGGGCGCAAGCCUGAUGCAGCCAUACCGCGUGGAUGAAGAAGGCCUUCGGGUUGUAAAGUCCUUUUGUUGGGAAAGAAAAGCAGCAGGUUAAUACCCCGCUGUUCUGACGGUACCCAAAGAAUAAGCACCGGCUAACUUCGUG